rnacentral:rRNA from 1 species
GAUGAACGCUGGCGGCGUGCCUAAUACAUGCAAGUCGAGCGAACAGACGAGAAGCUUGCUCUUCUGAUGUUAGCGGCGGACGGGUGAGUAACACGUGGAUAACCUACCUAUAAGACUGGGAUAACUUCGGGAAACCGGAGCUAAUACCGGAUAAUAUUUUGAACCGCAUGGUUCAAUAGUGAAAGACGGUCUUGCUGUCACUUAUAGAUGGAUCCGCGCUGCAUUAGCUAGUUGGUAAGGUAACGGCUACCAAGGCAACGAUGCAUAGCCGACCUGAGAGGGUGAUCGGCCACACUGGAACUGAGACACGGUCCAGACUCCUACGGGAGGCAGCAGUAGGGAAUCUUCCGCAAUGGGCGAAAGCCUGACGGAGCAACGCCGCGUGAGUGAUGAAGGUCUUCGGAUCGUAAAACUCUGUUAUUAGGGAAGAACAAAUGUGUAAGUAACUGUGCGCGUCUUGACGGUACCUAAUCAGAAAGCCACGGCUAACUACGUG